CCCAUCCUGACCAAUGAAACAUAAGAGGAAGAGUUCUAAAGGGUUUCUGGGAAAGGCUUCCUAUUCUAAAGACAGAGGCAAGGAUGAGAUUCUGUUUGACCUCUAGAUUUUGUCCAGUCUGUAUGGGAUACCAGGAAUAAUUUGCAACUAUCUUGUGAUCUUAAGGAAACCCAGCCCAAGGAGCAAGUCCACGUGCAAAAGCUGGUGAAGAGGAGAAAAGGAAAGAACUGGAAUCCUUGGUGACACUGGUGAUCUACUCUCACAGCCAUCUCUGGAAUCCACUCUUCCACCGAGCCUCUUCCUAUGUGAUGGACUUCAGGCCUAUCAUGGUGCCUGGCACACAGAAGACAUUCAGCACAUGUUUGGAUCAAUGAAGCAACUUGUUCAAGUCACAGCUCGGAGCAAGGGGCAAAGUGACACUCCAGGCCAUGACUGUCAGCCCCGUGCUGCUUCCUCCAUGUCACCAUCUCCAUCUUCAGUCACUCAAGUGGGCUCCAAACACAAUCACAUGUAUCCUUUGAAGAGGGAGGCAGAGGGAGAUUUGACACACAGAGAGAGGAGGCGAUGUGACCGCGGAGGUGAGAGAUUGGAUUGCCACAGCCACAAGUCCGUGAUUGCUACUGGAAGCUGGAAGAGGCAAGAAACGGGUUCUUUCCUUCCUUAGAGUCCCUGGAGGGAAAACCACUCCCCAUUCCUUGAUUUCAGCCCAGGGAUACUGAGAUCAGAAUUCUGGUUUCCAGAACCACGAGGGAAUAAAUUUCUAUUGUUUGAAGAGACCCAGUUUACGGUGACUUAAUACGGCAGCCGCAGGAAACUGAUACACCUGCUUUGGGGGAUGGCUCAGAAACACCUCAGGGUCUGCAGUCCUCUGACCUCUGCCAUCUGGGGGACCAAAAAGGGGUUCCUGUGGCCCCUGUGCCUGCAGCGGAAACAGAGGAGGAGGCCGAGCUGCACCAGCGUCAGUCUGAAAGGUUUUUUGAUGUGGACUGUUUUUAACAUAUUUAUUGAAUUUGUUACCAUAUGGCUUCUGUAUUAUAUUUUGGUGUUUUGGCUGUGAGGCAUGUGGGAUCUUCGUUCCCCGACCAAGGACUGAACCUGUACCCCCUACACUGGAAGGCAAAGGCUUAACUACUGGACUGCCAGGGUAGUCCCUGAAAGAGGUUCCAGUAAUCAGAGAUCGAAAGCCAUCCAUCUAGGAAUCCUCAUUAGGCACCUGCUAUGUGGCAGACCGGCUGGGACCACAGAUCUUGGUGUGGAUGGCCCUGAGACCAGGUUUCGGGCUGAGCUGCUGGGGUGCAGGGAACCCCAGGCCUGUCCUACUGACCCUGCUCCGGGGUCAGGUUCACGGGCAGGAAGGGCGUGGAACCUGAAAUCUGCAUCUGAAAGCAGAUAACAGGAGUUUGCUUCCCAAGGAGGGUGUUUGGCUCAGAUUUCUCGGGAAGUGGAGACAAGAGCGGGGGGAGGAACGUGGCCUGGAGUCUUGCCUGACCUGGAAGGAAGUGCACAGGGGUCGAGCGUGGAGGUGCCAAGCCACAGGAGGCCUGGGGGGCUGGCAGCCGAGGUGUGGGGUGUGGGCGCUGGACAACCACAGGCGGGGACUGCCGGCGUGGAGCGCACCCGCCGCCUCUACAAGGACAGACGGGGCUCUCCAGAGCUGUGGUCUCUGGUCACUUUUGUGCCUGCUCUGUCCGAGGGAUGGGAGGGCUGUCCCUGGAGACGGAGGGGGCUGCUGGGCCUCUCCACCACUGCCGGGCCUUGACCCUGGGCCUGCGGGUUUCUGGACCUUGGUGGUCACACGACGAUACUCCAAACUGGGGCGGGGAACACGUGUGACCUCUUCUCAGAGGCCGUCCGGGCCACGCUGGACCACCGGGCUGCCCCUGCCCCGAGCACGGAGUUGGAUGAGAGGGGGGCCGUGAUGAGGUCUUCGGCUUUCCGGGGAGAAACAGACCUCAGGGAAGAGUGGGGCGGCUCUUAGCAAAUCAGGAAGAGACAACGGGGAGGAGGUUAGCCAGGAAGCGGGGCUGGCGUACUGGUCAAUGUUCCAGCACGUUCCUGAAAGAGAGCGCCCUCUCAGGGAGAAGUCUCGUCCUGUUCAGCUGCUGAGGGAAGCACUCCGAGCAUGGCUCUAGGCCCUCUCUUCUCCUGUCUCAGCCUCUCUCUGUGAUGCCCGUCUCCUCUCCCCUCUCCUCCCAUCCUUUCUUGUCUCCGUGCAUGGCUCCUUGACCCUUCCUGUC